UACGUAGGGACCGAGCGUUGUCCGGAAUCAUUGGGCGUAAAGAGCGUGUAGGCGGCCACUUAAGUCCUGCGUGAAAUCUUGCGGCUCAACCGCAAGCGGUCGUGGGAAACUGGGUGGCUAGAGUGCGGGAGAGGAGAGUGGAAUUCCUGGUGUAGCGGUGGAAUGCGCAGAUAUCAGGAAGAACACCCGUGGCGAAGGCGGCUCUCUGGAACGCAACUGACGCUGAGACGCGAAAGUGUGGGGAGCGAACAGG
rnacentral:rRNA from 1 species